CCUACGGGCGGCAGCAGUGGGGAAUAUUGGACAAUGGGGGAAACCCUGAUCCAGCGACGCCGCGUGAGUGAAGAAGUAUUUCGGUACGUAAAGCUCUAUCAGCAGGAAAGAAAGUGACGGUACCUGUCUAAGAAGCCCCGGCUAACUACGUGCCAGCAGCCGCGGUAAUACGUAGGGGGCAAGCCUUAACCGGAUUUACGGGGUGUAAAGUGAGCGGAGACGGCAGCGCCAGUCUGGAGUGAAAUGCCGGGGCCGAACCCCGGAACUGCACUGGAAACUGGGAAGCUGGAGUGCAGGAGAGGUAAGCGGAAGUCCUGGUGUAGCGGUGAAAUGCGUAGAUAUCAGGAGGAACACCGGCGGCGAAGGCGGCUUCCUGGACUGUAACUGACGUUGAGGCUCGAAGGCGUGGGGAGCAAACAGGAUUAGAUACCCCAGUAGUC
rnacentral:rRNA from 1 species